ACGGGUGAGUAAUGCCUAGGAAUCUGCCUGGUAGUGGGGGACAACGUUUCGAAAGGAACGCUAAUACCGCAUACGUCCUACGGGAGAAAGCAGGGGACCUUCGGGCCUUGCGCUAUCAGAUGAGCCUAGGUCGGAUUAGCUAGUUGGUGAGGUAAUGGCUCACCAAGGCGACGAUCCGUAACUGGUCUGAGAGGAUGAUCAGUCACACUGGAACUGAGACACGGUCCAGACUCCUACGGGAGGCAGCAGUGGGGAAUAUUGGACAAUGGGCGAAAGCCUGAUCCAGCCAUGCCGCGUGUGUGAAGAAGGUCUUCGGAUUGUAAAGCACUUUAAGUUGGGAGGAAGGGCAGUAAGUUAAUACCUUGCUGUUUUGACGUUACCGACAGAAUAAGCACCGGCUAACUCUGUGCCAGCAGCCGCGGUAAUACAGAGGGUGCAAGCGUUAAUCGGAAUUACUGGGCGUAAAGCGCGCGUAGGUGGUUCGUUAAGUUGGAUGUGAAAGCCCCGGGCUCAACCUGGGAACUGCAUCCAAAACUGGCGAGCUAGAGUACGGUAGAGGGUGGUGG
rnacentral:rRNA from 1 species